GUGCUUGCCUUGGCAGCACAUAUGCUAAAAUUGGAAUGAUGCAGAUAACAUUAAGAUGGCCCCUCCUUGAGCAAGGAUGAUAUGCAAAUUUUUGGAAUGUUCCAUAUUUUU